GCCUCUGAUGGCCCCGGGCCUGAGGGGCCCAGCGGGGCCAGAAGGGACUGUCGGGGCUUAAGCCCAGCUGGAAAUGAAGCACCACGCAGCCGCUCGCUCAACUCCCCUCUCUCCCCAGCACCCCGGUGAAACGGGGAGGAGCAGCACCAACUGAAUGUGACUCGCCCACGGGCUGAGUCUCUGUGAGUCCCUGCGACAGCCCCAUCGCUACAGGAGUCGAGGACUCAAAAAGGGAGACCUUACUUGUGUUCAUGACUGUCUUCCAGGGCAGCCAGCCCACCUGGCAUGCUGGUGUCUGACGCUGAAUGGCACAGGAGAAAGGUAAGAUCUGGGGACUACCUCCAGUGAAGCAGAGUUGUUUCUCCAGGCAGUGACAAAGGCUCAGACUGUCCUUCUUCCUCCCAGACUAUCCUCAGCGUUGUGAUCCUUUGUUUGUCCUGAGUCCCCUUGAGCCUUUCUUUCCCCAGAGCACUCCCCAGUCACAACAAUUAGAAGGUUUCUUUCUGUCCUGAGCUAAACAAUCUUCAACAUCCUGUCCCUUCACUUCAGCAGCUUUGUUCUGCAUCUGCAACAAAAUCUCCUUAGCUAAGCACAGUGGCAUUUUCCUCCUCCUUCUCAGCACUUCCUCCUUUGCUACCUUUGGCCCAUUUUACUCAAGAGGCACUGCACCAACAGAAGAGCAGGACCCCUUUACCCAACCCCUGUCCCUUUACCCAGCCCGUGGCACAAGCAUUGGUAUCGCUGCCCAGCCCCACAGGAAAGAGGUAGCUUGGCAAUGUGACCAUCCGGCUCCCACCUCCAGAAAGCUAUUGGACACAACAGGAAACCCAAGCUUUCUCUUGAUUGUGCAGGGAUUUAUUGCAGGCAUCUUGUGGGGUUCCAUCAAGGAAAUCACAGCUGUACUUGCCUUGUUUGAAUCUUGUCUGAUAAUCAGAAAAGUCCUGCAUUAGCCUGUCACUGGGUUUGAACAUGCUGCUUCUUACUGAGCACGUUUUCCUCUCCUUUCCUCCCAGCCAGUCAGUGCCCUGGACUAUAACUGUGAGCAUGCACAAUGCCCUGGGAUGGGCCUAUGAUGUUGGAGCUGGUGGAGAGAUAAGAGGCCAGCUUGGCCAUGGUGUUCCGGCUUUGUCUCACCACCAUGGCACACACAGCACAUCAGUGGCAGCAGCAGCAGCAGUUUUGGAGUUUUGUCUGGAGAACUUUGUGCUUGAAUAGCUCCAGGUUAUGAACCCUGGCUUGUGGGGCAAUGGCUGCCAGCCCCGCCCUGGGGCAAUGGGGUGCGGAUGAAGCGCUGCGAUGGGCGAAGCUCUUUCAUGCCUGCUGGCUGAGAGCAGUGCAUGGGUUCCUCAGUGUGUGGAGCAAGGACCAGCCGUGCCUGAUGAGUUAGUAUCCACCAUGGUUCAGGCACAGAGUAGUGAGAAUAAGUGGGAUGGCUCGACAGCGUCAUCCACAGUAAUUGGCGGCCCACGGCACGCGGCUGUGCGACCACGAGAUGCCGGGAUGUCUCUGCUCACGGUGUUUAUUCUUUAGGAUGUCCCUGUCACACACCCAGCUGCUGUGAUUAUUAAUUGCUAUUUAUACUUUUCUUUGAGUAUGCACUGUGCUUUUAAGACCAGCAGAGGUGGGAACCCUGCCCUCCUGGAGGCUCCCAGGCUAGGUGGGAGGGUGACAGCUGCAGUGUGUCUUGUGGGGAGUUCAAGCCACUGGGAUAAUGUACCAAGGGCCCUUCCUCCACCCUUUGCUCCCCAGACACAUCAACAAAGGGGGCAGGCUCCCACCACUGGUUUUUCAGCCCCCUUUCCUGCUUUUCCAUCCUGUUUCCUUCUGAGGCCCCACAGCCUCUGCCUGGCUCUACAAGCCUCUCUGGGGCCAAGUGGAUGGAAGGGAUCCCUUGUGCCAUGCUGGGAGUGAAUGUAGUGGAGGACACCAGGAACAGUGGGUGUACAGGUGUGUGCAGGGAGAAUUUCACUAAUGCCCCUGGAGCCUGCCCAUAAAGUCUGUAGCACAGCAGGUGCUCAAGUUGUUGUGCAUAUCCUCUGAUGGUAUGGGCAGGAUGGUUGGCCAGGCAGUGAUGAAUUCUCAGUGCAGGGGAGCUAUAUCUUGGUGUCCACAGCAGUGCCCCCUGCAUGCCAGCUCUGCUGCUGAACUCUGGCUGUCCAGUCUCCUUCCCAGUGACCCCAACAGUCCCUGGUUAGCUGGAGACAGAUGUCCAUCAUAUUGUGUGCCUAGAGAAGGAACAUGGAACCAUGCUACAGUCAGUGUUGCUGACAGAGAGUGGGUGCUGACAGAGAGUGGGUCAUGAGACUACCAAAGGGCCAUGUUGCUGGCAUGAACUUUCCCCUGGUACAUGGCCAAAUUUAGGCACAGCCAUCUCUUCCCCCUGAAGUGGGUUUUGGCUGUGCAGUUGCACUGGCCCACACAUCUCAGGUGCUUUUCUGGUGUGGUUUUCCAAGGCCAGCCUCAGUAGACAGCUCAGAUGAAGGAGGGGUGUGAAAGUAGGGCCAAGUUCCCAUGCUGCACUUUGAGGCUUGGGAGCUCGCUGUUCUGUUGUAAGCCUCAGAGCUGCAAGCUUUCCCAUCUCCCUGCUUGGUAAGAGGAGAAGUGGAGGCCAAGCAGGUGGAGGGGUUCUGUUGGUAUCCCAGACAAGAUCCUCACUGGAUUGUUGCUGUCCUUCUGCCCUGCUGGCACCAUUGUGAUGCCCAAGAAGUGCAGUGGGCAUGGCCUCUUCUGUCUGGCCAGGCAUCUGGGAAGAGCCAUCUCCCUGCUGAUGAUAGUCAGCAGCCACCUCCUCCUCCAGCACCAGAUCCAGAGGUGCAGUGGGCUUGUCUGAAGCAAGGGAAAAGUCCCUAGAGGGGUGUGUCUGUGCAGCUGUGGCCUAGCCAAGCACCACCAGAGCCUGGCAAAACCCUGCUGGCCCUGGCUGUACAGGUUUAAUAAUGUUGUUGUGUUCACUGAAUUCAUGGUCCAUUCCACAGAUCACACUAAUUUGUGAGGGUCUAAUGGCUCUUCCUGUUCCCAGCUGGUGAGGGAGGUGAGGAGCCUCCAUCAGCCUGGCAUGCUGGUGAGGGUAACCCUGUCACCCAGGCAGGAGGGUUCACGCUCUGACUCUGUUUUGUCCCUGCGGUACUGCCUGCUUCCUUUUUUUGUUCUCACACAUACUGCGGUAAAACGUGUGCACCCUGUGUUUGGAGCAAACAACAAAUCCACGUCAUGUGU